CUCGCGCACGCCGUUCGUUCGUGCGCGCUCGCCUCUACCCGCGACCACGAGGCGCUCGUGUUCGAAUCGAGACGGUGAUUCAAUUUUCAAUCAAUCGGGAUCGAAAUCUUAUGGAGCGAGGAGUGGAAAUUCACAAUAGUGCCUCUUAGGCGCGCGGUCUACGAGGCGAGAUUUUUUUUUUGUCCCCUCCUCUUCUCUCCGUCUCGACGAUAUUUUUCGAUUCCGGUUCGCCGUACCGCCAUUUUGCUUUUGUUCUUCGGCAUCGAGUCUCUUUUGUCAUCGCUUACGAGGACGGUUGUAACCGGGCAGCGAAUGAGCGUCGCGUAAUUAUCGAAAGAUUUCAAUCUUCCGAGGCAUUCAUCAUCUUCGAUCAGUAGCAGCCCAGGGCAGCGGCCACGUACCCUCGAGUCCCGGAUUUGUCCUACUACGUCGCUACACCCUUGCCGCGCGUUUCUCGCUCGAGGGAGAGGGGACUCGACUUUGCGCCAAGCCACCGAACUCACCGAUUCCCAUGAGGGAUAUUUCACGUGGCGGUAAAGUGGAUGCCGAGAGGUGAACGGGAGGGGGAGGGGGGGCGGUAUUAUUAAGCCAACAUCCAUCACCGGCUUUUGGGGACAGUUGUGAAGGUGCCGCGAGCCGCGGGACUUAACCCUACCGACGAACCAACCAGCCAACCGAUCCCCCAUUUUCUGCCCCUCGUACACCACCCCCGAUAGAUAUACCGUAACGUCUAACGGUCCAUGCGUAAUUCCACGUAAGUUAGGAACGCCGGGCUUUUCGAAAGCUCGGCUACGUACAGUAAGCUACGAACCGGUGUACGUCGAUCAUCCCUGAGCAUUGAACGAAUACCGGAUGACUAUCCUCCUGUCUUAUACCGACAAAAAAAUCCCUCACACGAAACGAAACGGAGCUUCGACGACGCGUCGGAGAAGAAAAAAGAAAAAAAAAAAACGAAAUUCCCGUUGAUCCCGAUCAAUUUUCUCGGGGGGGUUUCUUUUUUUUCGAAACGCGUCGGAAAGCAUCGAACCCACUUACCUCGGGCCCCUAUUCAAGGAUUAAAGUUCUACGUCGUGUGUCGCGUUUCGAAGAAGGAAAGCGCCGCUCGUAACCAACCGCCUUAAGGACCUUAAAGGGAGCGCCUGGUUUUAUCGGACUAAUCGCCGGCUCUCGCCCCGAAGGAACCAAGCCCGGCGUGACUUCACCUACAUACCUGUCCCCGCGCGUACCUUGUACGCUCCCGCACGAUCGACGUACAGGAUAUUUCCCGAGGCGAGUACGGAUAUGGCGGGACACAGGGGACGUCGGGGGACAAAGGUGACGCGCGUCCUUCUCCGUUUCUGUCUCCGUCUCCGUUUAUCUGGCGUAGGUUGGGCCGGGAAUAGAGCCAGCGUGGCGAUGCACAUAUAUUAGAGGCCGAAGUGUGGUACGCACACGUUUGAAAACGUCACGCAUCGGCCGUACGCUCCAGCCCGCACACACGAAGAUUUUGGCCGCGCAACCCCGUCGUCACCCGGCCACCCCGUCACCUCGUAGUAUCUCCCACGUAUACGAGGUAUUUCGGUUGACUCCUAAUUUCCCGACAAUUAUACGUAUAUUACCGAUUCGUGGAGUUAUUCUGGCGCCCUGUAUCACGCCGCUGAAGAAUCUAUGGUAAUGUGGAAAUUUCCAAUGCGAUUGGACGCUUUGCCGCCAUCCGUUCGAAGAACGGUAGAAACGAAAAAUUGGUAACGUAGAUUUGAAAUUAUUCCUAAUUUUGUAAAAAUUUGAAUUUUCCAGCGAGAUUCCCUCGUUCUUUUUCCGUAACAAAAUGUCGGAGAUGUAAUUUCAUGUGAA